rnacentral:rRNA from 1 species
UACAGGGGGUGCAAACGUUGCUCGGAAUUAUUGGGCGUAAAGAGCUCGUAGGCGGUGUGUCGCGUCGGCCGUGAAAACCUGGGGCUUAACUCUGGGCGUGCGGUCGAUACGGGCAUCACUAGAGUUCGGCAGGGGAGACUGGAAUUCCUGGUGUAGCGGUGAAAUGCGCAGAUAUCAGGAGGAACACCGGUGGCGAAGGCGGGUCUCUGGGCCGAUACUGACGCUGAGGAGCGAAAGCAUGGGUAGCGAACAGG